CUAAUAGGAGAAAUUUUAUGUCCAUUGUCUUUUACUAUGAAACGAGUGCCUUACCCUUGUGAUUAUUGCUUCAGGGAACUGUAUUGGAUGGGCAUGCCCUCAUAUUACAACUCUGUCAUGCUAAAAAGGAUGCAGUAUUGCCUAAAAAAGUUGAAAAUGACAAGAGUUCUACAAAGUUGAUUGUAAGGAAUGUAGCUUUUGAGGCCACAUAAAAGGAUCUCAGACAACUAUUCAGUCCAUUCGGACAGAUAAAGAGAUUAAGGCUGCCAAUGAGGAUUGGGAAACAUAGGGGUUUUGCAUUUAUAGAGUAUAUGACGAAACAGGAAGCUCGGAAUGCACUUGAAGCUCUUUCCAACACCCAUCUCUACGGUCGUCACUUGGUUCUGGAGAGAGUCAAGGAAGGUGAAACCUUAGAGGAAUUACGGGCUAGAACGGCUGCUCAGUUCACAGACUCCACUAACUUAUCCAAAAAAAGAAAGCAGUUGCCCGUAUUUGAUGAAGGAAAUAACGAGUUUGAAAGAAUGGUAGAUUAGAAUUUUGGGUUGUCUUUGUUGUC